UGGUGCAUGUGGUAAAGCUGAAUAUGAAGUGGAUGGAGAAUGUUGUUCUAUGUGUGAGCCCGGAUAUCAUGUGGACAAACAUUGUACUGAUGAUACAUCUACAUCAUGUAUACCCUGUUCUCCAUCUACUUUCACUGAUUUACCCAAUGGACUAAUGCGCUGUUUCCAAUGUACAGUCUGUGAUCCCAUGGAAGGGUUAAGAACAAAGACAGAGUGCACAUCUACUGCAGACACCAUCUGUGAACCACUUAAAGGAUAUUACUGCAUCGACCAACACAAGCACAGCUGUAGAGCAGCUGUUGAAUAUUCAAAAUAAUCCUGGAUAAUUCAUGUGGGAAAAAUAUCGCUUUGCUUUAUGGCUGUAACUUUUAGAAUGAAAAUGUGUCUCAUGAGUAUU